rnacentral:antisense_RNA from 1 species
AGUAACCACGCCCAGCAAGUCCCUGCGAGAUUGUCCGUUUACGUGUCUCAGCGGAGGCACAUUUCUAAAAUGUACCAGGUCUCUCGCAGCCCGACGCAGGUGCUUCAACAGCUCUCAGCGCUCGGUGGUUGGUGAACUGUGGUAAAGUGCACGCAGAAUAAGGUCUACGGGAUUAAGCACCGCCUGGGGGUUGGGGUCUGGAGGCCCAGCUGCACAGAUGAAAGGGAGGCUCGGAGACGUUUGGGACCAACCGAGAUCACACAGCUGAUUAGGAAUAAAAUUCAGGUCAAGCUGAAAGUCGGCCGCCACCGUCCAGCGUGGAUCCCAGGACACCGUGAACGGACUUCAGAAGUUGACUUUCGCGUUUUUCAGGAGUGGGGUGCAGGGAAACAGUCCUCUGCCGGCCCUGCGGGCUGAUGCCGACCCUCACCUGCUCCUGCCACCUGGAGAGGUAGAGAGAAGCCCCGGGCCAAUCAGCAUUGAGCCCUGGUCCCUUCUAUUUAAAUAUGAAAUAUUUUGCAUACACUUUUCUAGAUGUACUUAAUAUACACAAUGUUUUAAUAUUUGUGGUUUUUUUGUUUUGCCAAAAAAAUACAAUCAAUCAGAAAUUCA